rnacentral:rRNA from 1 species
AUUGAACGCUGGCGGCAGGCCUAACACAUGCAAGUCGAGCGGAAACGAGUUAUCUGAACCUUCGGGGAACGAUAACGGCGUCGAGCGGCGGACGGGUGAGUAAUGCCUAGGAAAUUGCCCUGAUGUGGGGGAUAACCAUUGGAAACGAUGGCUAAUACCGCAUGAUGCCUACGGGCCAAAGAGGGGGACCUUCGGGCCUCUCGCGUCAGGAUAUGCCUAGGUGGGAUUAGCUAGUUGGUGAGGUAAGGGCUCACCAAGGCGACGAUCCCUAGCUGGUCUGAGAGGAUGAUCAGCCACACUGGAACUGAGACACGGUCCAGACUCCUACGGGAGGCAGCAGUGGGGAAUAUUGCACAAUGGGCGCAAGCCUGAUGCAGCCAUGCCGCGUGUGUGAAGAAGGCCUUCGGGUUGUAAAGCACUUUCAGUCGUGAGGAAGGUAGUGUAGUUAAUAGCUGCAUUAUUUGACGUUAGCGACAGAAGAAGCACCGGCUAACUCCGUGCCAGCAGCCGCGGUAAUACGGAGGGUGCGAGCGUUAAUCGGAAUUACUGGGCGUAAAGCGCAUGCAGGUGGUUUGUUAAGUCAGAUGUGAAAGCCCGGGGCUCAACCUCGGAAUAGCAUUUGAAACUGGCAGACUAGAGUACUGUAGAGGGGGGUAGAAUUUCAGGUGUAGCGGUGAAAUGCGUAGAGAUCUGAAGGAAUACCGGUGGCGAAGGCGGCCCCCUGGACAGAUACUGACACUCAGAUGCGAAAGCGUGGGGAGCAAACAGGAUUAGAUACCCUGGUAGUCCACGCCGUAAACGAUGUCUACUUGGAGGUUGUGGCCCUUGAGCCGUGGCUUUCGGAGCUAACGCGUUAAGUAGACCGCCUGGGGAGUACGGUCGCAAGAUUAAAACUCAAAUGAAUUGACGGGGGCCCGCACAAGCGGUGGAGCAUGUGGUUUAAUUCGAUGCAACGCGAAGAACCUUACCUACUCUUGACAUCCAGAGAACUUUCCAGAGAUGGAUUGGUGCCUUCGGGAACUCUGAGACAGGUGCUGCAUGGCUGUCGUCAGCUCGUGUUGCGAAAUGUUGGGUUAAGUCCCGCAACGAGCGCAACCCUUAUCCUUGUUUGCCAGCGAGUAAUGUCGGGAACUCCAGGGAGACUGCCGGUGAUAAACCGGAGGAAGGUGGGGACGACGUCAAGUCAUCAUGGCCCUUACGAGUAGGGCUACACACGUGCUACAAUGGCGCAUACAGAGGGCGGCCAACUUGCGAAAGUGAGCGAAUCCCAAAAAGUGCGUCGUAGUCCGGAUUGGAGUCUGCAACUCGACUCCAUGAAGUCGGAAUCGCUAGUAAUCGUGGAUCAGAAUGCCACGGUGAAUACGUUCCCGGGCCU